UAGAAGAUGGUGUAGAGGAAGCACAUGGAGUUUUGAUCUCUUGGGCAUAGGUUCAAGUCCUAUCCUUCUAG
rnacentral:tRNA from 1 species